rnacentral:tmRNA from 1 species
GGGGAUGAUUUGGCUUUGACAGCAUGACGAAGUGAUUUGUAAGCAUGUAGUGCGAGGGUGGCCAGCACUAUAAUCUCGGACAUCGAACUUUUAGUUGGCGAAAACAAUUACGCUCUUGCUGCUUAAUCGAAGUACAGUAGAUUUGAAGCUUAAUCGCUGCAACAGUUGCGGCGACAAGACAUCACCCAGAGAGCCCCGUCCCGAGGCGAGCUGAUCAUGGUGGUGCCGGAAAUUCGGGAAUCGCUCUCCUGACAUCCUCUAGGGAGAGUUAAACUUAGAGGGAUAAGUGCCCAGGAUGGUCGCCUCUGCCGCACCUGGACAAUGAAAAUCGAAAGAGAGGAUAAACAUGUAGAAAGCGAGUUAGUUCCAUGUUUGGACCGGGGUUCAAGUCCCCGCAUCUCCACAU